rnacentral:piRNA from 1 species
UUGUUCUAAUUUGUUGAAGGGCCUCAAC